rnacentral:lncRNA from 1 species
CUUGCUUCCAGAGUUCUAGCCCCUAGAAGUCGACUAGCCAUCAAUCGAUCAGAUCUUCCUUCAGAUUUGAGUCUGAAACUCUCAAAACCACCCACUAAAUCUGACCACCUUUUUCUAAACCUCUUAAACCCUUAGAGCGAUUAGGAUUAGACUUAUCUUAAAAGAACAAGCCUUUGUCCUAAACCCUAGAGUUGUAAGAGAGGGAGAGAGGGAG